rnacentral:rRNA from 1 species
UACAGAGGUCUCAAGCGUUGUUCGGAUUCAUUGGGCGUAAAGGGUGCGUAGGUGGCGCUGUAAGUCGGGUGUGAAAUUUCGGAGCUUAACUCCGAAACUGCAUUCGAUACUGCGGUGCUUGAGGACUGGAGAGGAGACUGGAAUUCAUGGUGUAGCAGUGAAAUGCGUAGAGAUCAAUGAGGAAGACCAGUGGCGGAAGGCGGGUCUCUGGACAGUUCCUGACGUGAGGCACGAA